rnacentral:rRNA from 1 species
CACGUAGGGCGCAAGCGUUGUCCGGAAUUAUUGGGCGUAAAGAGCUCGUAGGCGGUCUGUUACGUCUGCUGUGAAAACCCGGGGCUUAACCCUGGGCUUGCAGUGGAUACGGGCAGACUAGAGGCAGGUAGGGGAGAAUGGAAUUCCCGGUGUAGCGGUGAAAUGCGCAGAUAUCGGGAGGAACACCGGUGGCGAAGGCGGUUCUCUGGGCCUGACCUGACGCUGAGGAGCGAAAGCGUGGGGAGCGAACAG